AUCUCUGCCUCACCAAGGGCUGCUAAUGGAUGUCUGAGAGGGGAGAGAGGUCCAGAAAUUUACCCAAAGGCCACUCUGAGGAUCGGUUGGCAGAAAAGUGGUCACGAAACACAAGCCACAGACUGCUGCAUCCAGUCCCAUAAGAAAGAAAAGAUCCCUGCUCAUCCCUUCAGGACAAUAGCUUUCCAUUCUGAGGGAUCUUGGAGAGAAUACUAAAGGGGAACAUCAAAAGGGCCUUGAGAAAAAUCUUCCUGAAUUGUACAAGGAGAGAUUAAGAGGCCAAAGGCAAAGGAGUUGUACGUGUUGAUUCCUUUGGAAAAAUCCCAAGGAAGAGGGCUGCUAAUGUAUGUCUGAGAGGGGAGAGAGGUCCAGAAAUUUACCCAAAGGCCACUCUGAGGAUCAGUUGGCAGAAAGGUGGUCAGGAAACACAAGCUACUGACUGCUGAAUCCAGUCCCACAAGGAAUAAAAGAUUCCUGCUCAUCCCUCCAGAACAACAGCUUUCCAUUCUGAGAGGACUGCUAAUAGAUGUUGAAGAGGGGAAGAGGUCCAGAAAUUUACCCAAAGGGCACCCUGAGGAUCACUUGUCAGAAAAGUCAUCAGGAAACACAAGCGACAGACUGCUGAAUCCAGGUCCAAGGCAAAGAAAUUAUCCGUGCUGGUCCCCCUAGAACAGUUGCUUUCCAUUCUGAACAGCCUGAAGACAAAGAUGAGGCCUGAAACAAGAGUCCAGUGCAGUUAUUUGUAAACAUGGGGCCAGGGAUAUGAGAGAGCAUCCUCCCAGGAAGGCUAAAGGCCCUUCUUAGUUAUCCCACCCUUAUUCCUACAAAUACUCUAGUUAACAGGAAUCUAAAAGAAAGCACAAAGCAGAAGGUGUCUCCACUCCAACCUGACAUCUUCCAACCUGCUACCAUGGAUCCAACAAAUGUUGCAGUGCAGCAUGGGAUACUCCCACAUAAACCCCACCCAGCCCCCACCCAGCCACACACCCAGAGAAGACACUGCCAUGCUCACAUGCAAAUUCUUGUUCCCCCAAAUCACUUCAUAAAAUGUUGUCAUCCCCAUCCAUUGGCAGUUACGGUGGCAGAAGCCCGAAGGCGGCCCACAGAGGCACUUUCAGAUACACAUGCCUGACUGAGGCAGAAGAGUCAUGGCAACCCAAGGCAACACAGGCUGGCAAUAUUCAUUCCUAUGGAAUGCGAUGGUGGAAGAGUCAGACAUCUCUCCUCCUCGACUAGUCUGUGAUGUUCUACGAACCAGAGGGAGAGUGCUUCUCCCCCAACAUGCAAAGAUCAUGGAUAUCUCUCACUCAACUUGUCUCUCUCUGCUUCCACAAAGACUGAAGAAGAGCAAGAAUUAAGAUGCAGGAGCCCAAUUCAAUGUAGCAUUGGGGCUCAGAGUAUACGGAACAGCUUUCCCUGGAAGGCAAUAAAUACUUCAUCACCACCGAAA